rnacentral:rRNA from 1 species
AGCGAACGCUGGCGGCAGGCCUAACACAUGCAAGUCGAACGAACUCUUCGGAGUUAGUGGCGGACGGGUGAGUAACACGUGGGAACGUGCCUUUUGGUUCGGAAUAACUCAGGGAAACUUGUGCUAAUACCGAAUGUGGACUUCGGGGGAAAGAUUUAUCGCCAUUAGAGCGGCCCGCGUCUGAUUAGCUAGUUGGUGAGGUAACGGCUCACCAAGGCGACGAUCAGUAGCUGGUCUGAGAGGAUGACCAGCCACACUGGGACUGAGACACGGCCCAGACUCCUACGGGAGGCAGCAGUGGGGAAUCUUGCGCAAUGGGCGAAAGCCUGACGCAGCCAUGCCGCGUGAAUGAUGAAGGUCUUAGGAUUGUAAAAUUCUUUCACCGGGGACGAUAAUGACGGUACCCGGAGAAGAAGCCCCGGCUAACUUCGUG